UACGGGGGGGGCAAGCGUUGUUCGGAAUUACUGGGCGUAAAGGGCUCGUAGGCGGCCAACUAAGUCAGACGUGAAAUCCCUCGGCUUAACCGGGGAACUGCGUCUGAUACUGGAUGGCUUGAGUUUGGGAGAGGGAUGCGGAAUUCCAGGUGUAGCGGUGAAAUGCGUAGAUAUCUGGAGGAACACCAAUGGCGAAAGCAGGUAACUGGACUAAUUACUGACACUCAACUGCGAAAGCUAGGGGAGCAAACAGG
rnacentral:rRNA from 1 species